rnacentral:rRNA from 1 species
AAUGAACGCUGGCGGUAGGCCUAACACAUGCAAGUCGAACGGCAGCACAGGAGAGCUUGCUCUCUGGGUGGCGAGUGGCGGACGGGUGAGGAAUACAUCGGAAUCUACUUUUUCGUGGGGGAUAACGUAGGGAAACUUACGCUAAUACCGCAUACGACCUACGGGUGAAAGCAGGGGACCUUCGGGCCUUGCGCGAUUGAAUGAGCCGAUGUCGGAUUAGCUAGUUGGCGGGGUAAAGGCCCACCAAGGCGACGAUCCGUAGCUGGUCUGAGGGGGUGAUCAGCCACACUGGAACUGAUACACGGUCCAGACGCCUACGGGAGGCAGCAGUAGGGAAUAUUGGACAAUGGGCGCAAGCCUGAUCCAGCCAUACCACGUGGGUGAAGAAGGCCUUCGGGUUGUAAAGCCCUUUUGUUGGGAAAGAAAUCCAGCUGGCUAAUACCCGGUUGGGAUGACGGUACCCAAAGAAUAAGCACCGGCUAACUUCGUGCCAGCCGCCGCGGUAA